CAGCCGCCGCGGUAAUACGAAGGGGGCUAGCGUUGCUCGGAAUCACUGGGCGUAAAGGGUGCGUAGGCGGGUCUUUAAGUCAGGGGUGAAAUCCUGGAGCUCAACUCCAGAACUGCCUUUGAUACUGAAGAUCUUGAGUUCGGGAGAGGUGAGUGGAACUGCGAGUGUAGAGGUGAAAUUCGUAGAUAUUCGCAAGAACACCAGUGGCGAAGGCGGCUCACUGGCCCGAUACUGACGCUGAGGCACGAAAGCGUGGGGAGCAAACAGGAUUAGAUACCCCUGUAGUCCCUGUCUCUUAUAC
rnacentral:rRNA from 1 species